CAUUUGGCUAUCACAGAGCCUCCUGCCCACAUUCCUGCUACUCUAGAUUACUGAAAAGUGUGAGAAAAUGUUUGGAGAAAGCUGUGCUCCGUACAUACUCCCCUGUGUCCUGUAACCCCAUCUUCUGUUCCAUCAUCUCUCCCAGAUGGUCUUCAGAACUGCUCAGCAUUCCAGGAAGAACAGAACUAAAGAAUAGUAUGAAGAAAAGGAGAAGAAUGACAGGGGAAUCCAUUAAGCAAAAGGAAGACAAAGAACAUUUGAACUGCCAGAGGACAAGGCUCCAGAACUAGGAAGACCUCCUCAGAGUUGAGCAGAUACACUGUAAAACAAAAGUGAUCAAGUGGCAAGAUGCUCACCAUCAUGGCUCAUCAGCACAUAAAGUAGAAACCACAGUGAGGUAGAUUUUAUACCCACCAGAGUCGAUGAUAUCGAAUGCUGGUGAGAGUGGAAGCUGCCUCUCUCAUGACACGAAUGAUUCAGAAAACUGACACAGAUACAGCAGUCCUCCCUGCCCAUGGAAUAUUUGAAGACCUCCAUGGAAGGCCUGAAGCUAUGGAGAGAGCUGAAUCCUAUACAUUUCCUAUUUGUUUGUUUGCUUGUUCUCUAUACAUACAGAGCUAUGACAAAGUGUAAUUUUACAAAUCAGUCACAAUAAAAUCUUCACAACUAAUGAUUAAAUAGAAUAAGAUAGUAAUAAAAUAGUAAUAAGAUACUGUGACUAAAGGUAUGUUAUUUCAGGUCCUUUUUCAAAACAUUACAUUGUUCUGCAGAGCUUUGGAACACUGGUGUGUGACUUAUUGUUCUUUGUUAAGAAUUUUUAACAUUUCACUUAAAGAAAGCACUUUACAAACUUGUCUAUGGCAUAGGUAAAUUUUUGACACCGCAUCUCUGAUGUCAUUAUCAAGACGAAAAUAAGAGUUUCUUAAAUGUAAGCACUGCAAUACAUCAGUGACUCAUUGGUGGCUAGUGUGUGCAGCAUGGCCAUGCUGGACAAAGGAAUGAUUCACUUUCCAGGCAGCAUGGAGCAGAGUGACCUGAGAUGUCAUCACACUACUCAGAAUGCUAUGCAAUGUAAACCUUACAAACUGUUUCAGGAAUUUUCCACUUAAUAGUUUCUGGAUGAAGAAUGAAUCUCAUGGAAGAUGGGAGACUCAUAAUAUUUUUUGAAAAUAUAGUAAAUUAUAAAACCAAAUGCGUGCUCUCUGAU
rnacentral:lncRNA from 1 species